AUAUCAUGGAAAUCAGGACAGUGGCAGUUCGGAUUGUGGCAAUCAAAGGGGUGGAAAGUGAAUUCUAUCUUGCAAUGAACGAGGAAGGAAAACUCUAUGCAAAGAAAGAAUGCAAUGAAGAUUGUAACUUCAAAGAACUAAUUCUGGAAAACCAUUACAACACAUAUGCAGCAGCUAAAUGGACACACAAUGGAGGGGAAAUGUUUGUUGCCUUAAAUCAAAAGGGGAUUCCUGUAAGAGGAAAAAAAACGAAGAAAGAACAAAAAACAGCCCACUUUCUUCCUAUGGCAAUAACUUAAUUGCAUAUGGUAUAUAAAGAACCAGUUCCAGUAGGGAGAUUUCUUUAAGUGGACUGUUUUCUUUCUUCUCAAAAUUUUCUUUCCUUUUAUUUUUUAGUAAUCAAGAAAGGCUGGAAAACUACUGAAAAACUGAUCAAGCUUGACUUGUGCAUUUAUGUUUGUUUUAAGACACUGCAUUAAAGAAAGAUUUGAAAAGUAUACACAAAAAUCAGAUUUAGUAACUAAAGGUUGUACAAAAUUGUAAAACUGGUUGUACAAUCAUGAUGUUAGUAAUAGUAAUUUUUUUCUUAAAUUAAUUUACCCUUAAGAGUAUGUUAGAUUUGAUUAUCUGAUAAUGAUUAUUUAAAUAUUCCUAUCUGCUUAUAAAAUGGCUGCUAUAAUAAUAAUAAUGCAGAUGAUGUUAUAUAAGGUAUAUCAGACCUACAGGCUGCUGGCAGGAUUUGUCAGAUAAUCAAGCCACACUAACUAUAGAAAAUGAGCAGCAUUUUAAAUGCUUUCUAGUGAAAAAUUAUAAUCUACUUAAACUCUAAUCAGAAAAAAAGAAUAUUCUCAAAAAAAUCUAUUACGAAAGUCAAUAAAAUAGAUAAUUUAACAAAAGUACAGGAUUAGAACAUGCUUAUACCUAUUAACAAGAACAAAAUUUCUAAUGCUGCUCAAGUGGAAAGGGUAUUGCUAAAAGGAUGUUUCCAAAAAUCUUGUAUAUAAGAUAGCAACAGUGAUUGAUGAUAAUACUGUACUUCAUCUUACUUGCCACAAAAUAACAUUUUAUAAUUUCUCAAAGUAAAAUUGAGAAAUCUUUAAGUUUUUUUCAAGUAACAUAAUCUAUCUUUGUAUAAUUCGUAUUUGGGAAUAUGGCUUUUAAUAAUGUUCUUCCCACAAAUAAUCAUGCUUUUUUCCUAUGGUUACAGCAUUAAACUAUAUUUUAAGUUGUUUUUGAA
rnacentral:lncRNA from 10 species